rnacentral:miRNA from 1 species
UAUGGCCACUUGACAGUCGG